GGUAAAUAGAAAUAAUCAUGUACCGAUGUAAACAAAUCGCGUUUUUUUUCGACUCCUGGAUUUUUGUGAGGUUUAGAGAUAAGAGAUGAGAAUACCACGCAGCAUAAGGUUAGAGUCUGGCGGAAUUCGUCACUAUUGUGCGCAGCUAUCAAAUGCCUUAAAAAGGCACAGUUAACGCAAUUUGUGAUAAGUUGUAAAUCGAGUUAUAAAGAGAAAUAAAAUAUAAAAUUUGCUUUGC